rnacentral:miRNA from 12 species
CUCUGGCACCAACACCAGUUUU